UUAGCAAAUUAGCCGAGAUUUUUUAUUUUAGUAAAUUUAUUAACUCUGCGUCGCCGAGGAGGAAUUGUGGCCAGGAUGGCAGAGGAAUUCUGUGGCUGCCUGGGCGCAGAAUUUAUACGGAUGACGUGAGAAAUUGAACGCGAUCGCCGCCGAAGAUCAUAAAGUAUUUUUCAUCCAGGCGGAUUAUGAUUUAAAAAUAUACCCACGACCGGGAGGAUGCUGUCAAUUGUGAGGCUCGCUGGUGGGGAUCAUGUGAGGAGAGAGGCUCAAUGGCAGGAGAUGCGCCCUAUAUUUCUAUGUGAUGAUAGAGCGACGGCGUGCAGAAAAUUUUGCGCCAAACACCGCGGAUGAUCAGUGGGUGGGAUUCCGCCGUCGUCCGGGAACUCAUCAUAUUUUUACGAGACUAUCCAGUCAUUCUUCGGCAGUCAAUUGAAACGGAACGUGUGAUCUCGUUCCCGGACAAUUCACUCGCACUCUCUUGCAUUUCGCUUUUCUCGCGGCCUAUCGAAGACCGACUGUGAGAGGAAGAAAAAAUGAGUGAAACCAGGAAUUUGAUGACCACUUUUCUCAUCCUCACCAUCCUUCUUCUCCUCUUGUGGAUCUUCUACUCCAGUGUUGUGUGAAAUGAGGCGCCCGUCAUCACACUUUUUCGGAUGAUGUAGCCGUUUAGAGGGAAGGAGGGCGAAUUCCGCCACCAUCCAUGGGAAUACUUGGUCAUCCACAUACAUAUUUAUCGCCAAACAUCACUUUUUAUCUGUUCAUCGCGCCA